rnacentral:lncRNA from 12 species
UCUCUCUUUCUCAUGAAUAAAUAAAUUAAAUAUUUAAAUAAAUAAGUAAGUAAGAUAUAUUGCUGGUACCUUAGCAAGGAAUCCAGGUUCUGGGUGGCUCAAAUGUAACAGAUCUUUACCUGCCAAACCAGAAGUACAAAACUUCCACAGACAGUUCAGGAGGAACAUGCAUCACCACUGGGUGAGUGGCCACAGAAGAGGCUGGGUCUCCUCUUUAGGAAAGAAAGGGUGGCAUGAAAGAUCACCGCAUCUUUAUUUGUAUGGUAAGGGCUUAUCUAACUAUUGAGACAAAUCAUCACUUUUCUCAGAGUAACUUAAAAGUCAAUCUGUGAUCUCUCCCCACUCUCAAGCUGAAAUAACUACAUUUUUAAUGCUUCAGAUCUAAGAAAGAAAGAAAGAAAGAAAGAAAGAAAGAAAGAAAGAAAGAAAGAAAAGAAAACAACUCCAAAAGGCGUUUCGCCAGGGGAAAAAAAUCCUGACCACGUGCUCUGGGCAGGGAAGGCAGGGCUCCUAACCUCGGCGGGAACCAGAGAAACAAAGAUACAAGUGACUUUGUCUAGGAAAUAAACACAAUCCCGGGGUGGGAGUAAGGACAAGGAGAACCGUGUGGGACCCAGAAAAGGCAAUCAAAUGUGAACGGAGGCUCACCCUUCUGGAAACACGCAGCCAGCACGGAGCGGCGGGCGCGACCGCAGGCCCCAGCAGCGCCCGCCGCGCACGCGGAGCAAAGGGCGGGGAGUCUCGGGGCACGCGCUACCGCAGGGGCUCCGUGUUUCAACAGAAAAACCACUUCCGCCCUCUGCAGAGGCUGAAUCUUGUUCGUAUCCCAAGAGGCCUCAUCCACCAGGGCGGCCUCGGGCCCGGGGUCCCCAGGGCGGCCCUCGCGGGGCGGGCGUCAGGACGGACACGGGCCGCCGCCGGCAGAGCACAGGACUGGGCGGGGCCUGCGCGGGCCGCAGCGGGACGGGGCGGCGGAGCACUCGGCGGCCGCGGGCACGAGGGCCCCAGAGCGCGGCGCCCCGGGGUGGAGGCGCCUCCGCAGCAAGCCGGCGGGACCCAGACGCGGCCGCUCGCGCCCCCCACGGCACCCACGGGGGACCCCGACUCGUCGCUCCCCAAGGCGGCGUCUGCGCUGCGGGCUGCGUCCUCGUCGCUGGAACGAAGCCGCCGCAGGAGCCGCCGAGCCCCCCGCGGCUGCCCUCGCUCUCGACCCCUGCCGGCGCCAGAGCCGCGCUCCCAGCAGGCAGGGGCUCCGCGACGCCGGCACACGGGCCCCAGGCACCCGCGGUGAGCGGAGCCCGCGCCGACCGAGGGACACCGCGGCCCGCAGGACGAGGGGCGGAGGGCACGUCCAGGGGCCCGCGUGGCGUCGGGCUGCCGGGCACGGGGGGGGCACCUGCGGCGACCAGCGCGCACCGGGUCUGGGCGAGCGGCCGCGUGUCCUCCGGAGAACUCCGGGCUCCCGGGAGGGUCCCGAGGGCGGGGCGGGAGGACGGGCCGGGCACGCCCCGGGCGCUGGGGGAGGCCGGGCAGCUCGGGGACACCGCGGGGGCCGGGGCGGCCGACGGGGCCUCUCAGGGAUCCGUGUCCGGCCUCGGCCCCAGGUCUGCGGCGACCGGUCAGGCCCUGGGCAGGCGCACGCGGGGGCGGGGCCCUUCCGGCGGCUCAGGCUGGCCCCGGCCCCCCGCAGGCGGCCCGGCGUGGUCGGCGCUGGGCACGCGGCCUCCAGCCCCGGGGGAGGCUCCGGCGGCGGCGGCGGCGGCGGCGCAGCCAAGGGGACAAGCGCCGCCCUCGGCCGGGUGGGGCGCAGGGAGCCGCGGGGCGGGGCGGGGCGGGCUGCACGGCGGGGCCUCACCCCUGCGCCCCCGAGGCCGAGGCCAGGGCUUCCCCCGACGGGCCCGGCUCCGGCCCCACUCCCGGGGCUGCAGGCGCGGGCCUCGCCGGGCGCUCGGGGUCCUGAGGGCGCUGAUCCCGGCGACGCGCCCGCCCCCGCCCUCGCCCCAGGCCCGUGCUUCGCGGCGAGGACACGGGCCGCCCGACAGGGACGCGGAACACGACGCAGCAGCCACGGCCCGACCCACGGGGAGCCGCGGCCGCCGAGGAGCGUCGAGGUACGGGCGGCUUCGUCCCAGCUGCAGGCGGCGGCGGCCGACACCGCCACAGCCGGGCACGCGGGGCCACGCGGGGGGCAGGACGUGCCGGAGCCGCGCCGCCGUCCCCGUCCCCGUCCCCGGGGGGCCCCGAGGGCCGCUGCGCCGGGGAGGGCUCCCGCGGCGGCCACGGGCGGGCACAGGGGGCGUCCGGGAGGCCGGCCGGAGGCAGACGGGCCGCGGGACGGGCGCGCCACGGGCUGGGGGCCCAGGUGCCUCCGCCCGCACAGCUCGAGGCGGAGGCCGCGUGCUCCCCCUGCCCGCCCCGCGGCGAGGCCCCGAGCUGCUCCGCCGCCCGGCCGGAAGCCAGGGCUCCACGGGGCCUCCGCGCCUCCCCUGCUGCUGCCCCGGAGCCGGAGCCGGAGCCGGAGCCGGAGCCGAGCCGAGGAGACCUCGCGGGAACUGCCGUCGGGACAGCCUCAAGCGGAAACCGGCCUCACCCGGCCCAGGGCGGCAGGAAGCGCCAAGACUUCCGGGCGGGCCGCCGCCACGCUCAGCCAGUGAGAAGCCGCCGCCAUCACCGGCAGCCAAUGAGAAGCCUCUGCCACGCUCAGCCAAUGAGAAGCCACCACCAUCACCGGCAGCCAAUGAGAAGCCUCUGCCACGCUCAGCCAGUGAGAAGCCGCCGCCAUCACCGGCAGCCAAUGAGAAGCCGCCGCCGCGCUCAGCCAGUGAGAAGCCACCGCCAUCACCGGCAGCCAAUGAGAAGCCGCCGCCGCGCUCAGCCAGUGAGAAGCCGCCGCCAUCACCGGCAGCCAAUGAGAAGCCUCUGCCACGCUCAGCCAGUGAGAAGCCGCCGCCAUCACCGGCAGCCAAUGAGAAGCCGCCGCCGCGCUCAGCCAGUGAGAAGCCACCGCCAUCACCGGCAGCCAAUGAGAAGCCGCCGCCGCACUCAGCCAGUCGACACUUUCCGGCCUGCGAAUCCUCCAGCCCUGCCUGGGAAGCGGAGAACCCAGCUCGAAGACUAUCUUUCCUCUCACGGAUCUACGUGGCGCCCUCGCCCGAGGAGGCCGUUAACCCCGUGACCCGCCCUAAGUCACUAAAAGCCAUUUUCGUGGGCUCCGGGGCCCCGGAAGCGACCAGUAAGGAAUUCUGUUCUUCAAAAACCGUUUCUGUUGCUCAGAAGCCAGUUUCCAUCAGAUGUUGAUUUGGGCUUUGCAGACUGUAACCCACGCCCUGGGUUUCCUGACAAAACACCGUGUUCUGGAGGACGCGAGUCCCAAGGAGUGGACCCCCCCCCCCCCCGGCCGGACCCCCGGGCGGCCUCGCGCUACCGAACUGUGCCCGUGUCAGGUUGUACUUGAGAAAAGUGCAAGACAUUUUUGAAUAUUUUCUGCGGAGUUUCAUGAAUAUGCUUUUGCGACGACUUAAUGUGAAUCUUUUGUAACCUGCCAGUAAUCUUAAUGUGCGACCAUACUGUAUUAUCAGGCUUGUAAAAUGUAUGGACUAUAAAAAAGAAAUUCUGAAAAGAUGCAAAACUAAUGCUGUACUCAUGCAUUAAUUACUGAAAAGUUGCACUGGCUCAUCAUUCCAUUGUUGAAUGGAAGCGUCGUUCAAAUUUAUGAAAUGACUAUUCACGACUCAGUAUUUUCUGGCAAGAAAAACAAUUAUUCAUUCAACAAAUAUUAGUGUUAGAGGUGUUAGGGUGCGUCACUGAAAUUCUGCCCUGUAGAGACUUCGGUCCUAGAGCAGAGAUGGGAAUGCAGAAGGAACAGCUGGCUUAUUAAUGUAACAGCUGAGGAAGCAGACGACUUUUAUCUUGGAUACUGAGAAAGUAUAAGGUGCACUUGGAGGAUGCUGAGAAGAAUUUCAGCAAUACAGUUUUACCAACACAAAUUCAAAUUGUUAUGUAAGAUUUUUUUAUAUGGAAAAUCAUAAUGUUUUAAAAGGCUUAUUUAUAUUUAUAUAUGUAAACAUGCAAAUUCUUAAUAUUUAAUAGGUUUAUUUAUUGUAUACUUUUAUUGAUGAAAGCAUCUACACAUACACAGAAUAGAGCAGUGGACUUCAUAUAUGUCACCCAGCUUUGGCAAUCAUUAGCAUUUUGCCAUACUUGUUUUACUGAUCUUCAGUUUUCUUUUUGCUGGAGUAAUUUCAAAGAAAACCUUAAACACGUCAUUUCACCUGGAAAACCAUCAGUCGCAUCUCAAAUAAAAAAGGCAUUUUCCAGGGCUCCUGGGUGAUU